AUUAUCUAACGUCUAUCUAUUGCCCUGCUCUCUCUUGUAGUCCAUCUAUUCGUUUGAUUUCUCGAUGACUUUUUUGUAAGAGUCGAAGCCACAGCUGCGGACUCGAUCUCUUCCACCUUCACAACAAUGGUUGUUAAUCAAUGUAAGGCCCGUGAUUCCUCUGGCUUUUUAAGUACUGAGGAAUUGGACAACAACCCACAGUGUGAUCCUCGUUUAACUUUCUUCAACUUCCUGGAAGUUACCCAUUCAACAAAAAGUAGGAUGUCAUUGGAAACGUCAGAUGCCCAUGCUCGCUUGACUUGCCAUAACGUAAUUGAUAUACACGUGAAUGGUGGAGAUGUUCAUUCCUCGUGCAUAGUAAAUAUUGAUAUUGUCAAGGAUAAGCUCAAACUAUCUAAAUCCUGUGACGGAACUUUUGAAAGUUUGAAAACUGAGAAUACAUUGGUGCGCAUAGAGAAGGUACUGGAAAGACAGUCCAGUCUUAAAAUGGGGGCGAAAGUUGUGCAUUAUUUGUUGAACCAUGGACUAAUGUUACUGAAGUUCUCGUCUAAAGAAAAAUUAGGGACCGAAAGGGCUCAUGAUAUGCCAAACAUUAGGUGGAGGAAAUAUAAAUGUUUUGCACUUGACUCAAGAAAGAUUGUUAUUCUCUUCUCGGUAUUGUGAGUACCAAAUUUCACAUCUUGUCAAGCUUUUGGUUUCAACCUGAGUAAUGAGUAGAAUUUUGGGCAUUCAACUUUAAGUAGCUACCCCAAAUCGAAAUAGUGAAAUUUAUCUAUGAAGUCCAACACACAGGUCAAGCUUGGGAACCUUGAUGUUGAUAUAUUUGACUCUGAGAGUUAGGCAGCAGGGUGGAGAUGGAUCUGUUGCUAUAUAAUUAUAGUUUUGGUCUCUGGUUUUGUCUAAUUUUCUCCAUUCUCUCUUAAAAUAGUUGAUUUUUAAAUCUUAAUCUCUUUAUAGAACAUUUUUUUAGGCAUGACUAUUUAUGUUUGUACAUAAAUGUCUUCUACUUGUGAUUAUGAACGCUCUAGAAAUUAGUGAACUUGUGAAAUUCGGAUGAAUCCUUGAUGGAAAUGUUAGCAGAUUUUGAGUUUUAUAAGAUUAUUGAUCAAAUUAUUUUA